CUCUUUCUCCCUCUCGGUCUUCUCACUCUCACUCCCCCGCCGCACCUCCAUCUGCCAUCCCUAGACUCUCCCAUCUCCCAUCUCCCUCAGUCGGCGUCGUGCCUCACCUCCAUCGCCGGUCAUCUUCUCCGAUUCACCCGCCCGCCGCUGGAGUCACGCUCGCCGCUCGAUCUCUGCUUCGCUCGCCCUCCCUUCUUCGCUCGCCGUCCCUGCUUCGCUCGCCGUCCCUGCUUCGCUCCCUCCAUCGCCCGCUGCCUGGAGUCACGCCGCGCUCGCUCGCCCGCCAGCAGCAGCGGCAGUGCAGCCUCCAGUUCCAGUUCGGCUCGCCGCACUCCACCGCCGUCGCCGCCUCUGUCACUUCAGUCCGGCUCGCCGCACUCCACCGCCGCCGUCGUUCAGCCAUGAGCUUGUCUACCACAGGAUGCUCUAAAUCAAAGGUUAGAUUUUGAUUUUGAGCAUGUUUAAAUUCGAAAAUUAUAUUCUGAUUUGAGAUUGAUUCUGAUUCUGAUUUGAGCAUGUUCAGCCGUCGUUCUGUCACUUGGAGUUGAUUCUUGUGGGAUUUUGAUGCACUUGGAUAUCUCUUGUUUGUUGGAUAUCUCUUGUUUGCUGGAUUCUUGCUGGAUUCGAAAAUUAUAGGUUUAACUGGAUAUCUCUUGUUUGCUGUCUGCUGAUUUUGAUGCACUUGGAGUCGAAAAUUAACUGUAUUUCUUGUUUGCUGUCUGCUGUACUUGUUUGAUGCACCUAGACUAAGCCAAAUGUUGCUAUACUUGUUUGCUGUUUGCUUUUGUUUUAUAUCAGAGAGGAAUAUGCAGCAUGCUUACAUAUUUUAUGAUUAUGAAUUUAGAGAUUUAUGAUUUGUUUUGUUUUUGUAGGAGAGUGAAAAUAAGUUGAAUGAAGAAGAGUUUGUU
rnacentral:lncRNA from 1 species